GACGGAGGGUGCAAGCGUUGUUCGGAAUCACUGGGCGUAAAGCGCGUGUAGGCGGUUCGAUCAGUCGAGUGUGAAAGCCCGAGGCUCAACCUCGGAAGUGCACUCGAAACUGUCGAGCUUGAGUACGGGAGAGGGAAGUGGAAUUCCUGGUGUAGAGGUGAAAUUCGUAGAUAUCAGGAGGAACACCGGUGGCGAAGGCGGCUUCCUGGACCGAUACUGACGCUGAGACGCGAAAGCGUGGGGAGCAAACAGGGAUUAGAUACCCUGGUAGUCCACGCCGUAAACUGUGAGCACUAGGUGUAGCGGGUAUUGACCCCUGCUGUGCCGACGCUAACGCAUUAAGUGCUCCGCCUGGGGAGUACGGCCGCAAGGUUAAAACUC
rnacentral:rRNA from 1 species